ACUCGGCGAGCCCAGCCGGGUCCGCCGCCCUGAAGAAC
rnacentral:sRNA from 1 species